rnacentral:rRNA from 1 species
UACAGAGGGUGCGAGCGUUAAUCGGAAUUACUGGGCGUAAAGCGCGCGUAGGCGGCUUUGCAAGUCGGGUGUGAAAUCCCCAGGCUUAACCUGGGAACUGCAUUCGAGACUGCAUUGCUAGAGUAUGGGAGAGGGAAGUGGAAUUUCCGGUGUAGCGGUGAAAUGCGUAGAUAUCUGGAGGAACACCGGUGGCGAAGGCGGCAUCCUGGACCGGCAUUGACGCUGAGGCGCGAAAGCCAGGGGAGCAAACGGG